rnacentral:rRNA from 1 species
GAAUUUUCCGCAAUGGGCGCAAGCCUGACGGAGCAACGCCGCGUGCGGGAUGACGCCUUUCGGGGUGUAAACCGCUGUUCGUGGGGACGAAGCACUGACGGUACCCACGGAGGAAGACCCGGCUACCGACGGGCCACCCGCCGCGGUAAUACGUAGGGGCCGAGCGUUGUCCGGAGUUACUGGGCGUAAAGCGUGCGCAGGCGGCCUGUCGCGCCCGGCGUGAAAGCCCCCGGCUCAACCGGGGAGGGUCGUCGGGGACGGGCAGGCUUGAGGACAGCAGGGGCUGGUGGAAUUCCCGGUGUAGUGGUGAAAUGCGUAGAGAUCGGGAGGAACACCUGUGGCGAAGGCGGCCAGCUGGGCUGGACCUGACGCUGAGGCACGAAGGCGUGGGGAGCGAACGGG